AGAGUUUGAUCAUGGCUCAGGAUGAACGCUAGCUACAGGCUUAACACAUGCAAGUCGAGGGGCAGCAUGUUGGUUGCUUGCAACCAACGAUGGCGACCGGCGCACGGGUGAGUAACGCGUAUCCAACCUACCCUUGUCCAUCGGAUAACCCGUCGAAAGGCGGCCUAACACGAUAUGCGGUUCACAGCAGGCAUCUAACGUGAACGAAAUGUGAAGGAGAAGGAUGGGGAUGCGUCUGAUUAGCUUGUUGGCGGGGUAACGGCCACCAAGGCUACGAUCAGGUAGGGGUUCUGAGAGGAACGGUCCCCCANAUUGGGAACUGAGACACGGUCCAAACUCCUACGGGAGGCA
rnacentral:rRNA from 1 species